UACAGAGGUCUCAAGCGUUGUUCGGAUUCAUUGGGCGUAAAGGGUGCGUAGGCGGCGCGGUAAGUCGGGCGUGAAAUCUCGGAGCUUAACUCCGAAACUGCAUUCGAUACUGCCGUGCUUGAGGACUGGAGAGGAGACUGGAAUUUACGGUGUAGCGGUGAAAUGCGUAGAUAUCGAGAGGAACACCUGCGGCGAAGGCGGGUUGCUGGGCCGACACUGACGCUGAUGCGCGAAAGCCAGGGGAGCGAACGGG
rnacentral:rRNA from 1 species